AUUGAACGCUGGCGGCAGGCCUAACACAUGCAAGUCGAACGAGUGGCGGACGGGUGAGUAAUGUCUGGGAAACUGCCCGAUGGAGGGGGAUAACUACGGGAAACGGUAGCUAAUACCGUAUACCACAAGAUGUGCCCAGAUGGGAUUAGAUUGUUGGUGGGGUAAUGGCUCACCAAGGCGACGAUCCCUAGCUGGUCUGAGAGGAUGACCAGCGAUGCUGGAGCUGAGACACGGUCCAGACUCCUACGGGGGGCAGCAGUGGGGAAUAUUGCACAAUAAGCGCAAGCCUGCUGCAGCCAUGCCACGUGUAUGAAGAAGGCCUUCGGGUUGUAAAGUACUUUCAGCGGGGAGGCGUUACUCGCAGAAGAAGCACCGGCUAACUCCGUGCCAGCAGCCGCGGUCAUUC
rnacentral:rRNA from 1 species